rnacentral:piRNA from 1 species
UAGGAGGACCCCAAAGUGUCCAGGUGGCA